AAAACAUUGUCACUCCUUACGGGGGAGACAGUCAUGAGACGUGAGUAGAAGACCUGAGUGUAAAGACCUUAGGGUGAAGCAAUUGGAGGGCAAGCUUUGGUGCCAGCAGCCGCGGUAACUCCAACUCCAAGAGUGUCUAUGGUGGAUGCUGCAGUUAAAGGGUCCGUAGUCGUGAAUGCAAUUAAAUGUCGUUGUUCAAUAGCGAUGAGUUUGCUAAUGUUUGCGGAACGGAUAGGGAGUGUAGUAUAGACUGGCGAAGAAUGAAAUCUCAAGACCCAGUUUGGACUAACGGAGGCGAAGGCGACACUCUUAGACGUAUCUUAGGAUCAAGGACGAAGGCAGGAGUAUCGAAAGUGAUUAGACACCGCUGUAGUUCCUGCAGUAAACUAUGCCGACAGCCUGUGUGUGAGAAUACGUGGGCGGGAGAAAUCUUAGUGUUCGGGCUCUGGGGAUAGUACGCUCGCAAGGGUGAAACUUAAAGCGAAAUUGACGGAAGGACACUACCAGGAGUGGAUUGUGCUGCUUAAUUUAACUCAACGCGGGAAAACUUACCAGGGUCAAGUCAUUCGUUGAUCGAAAUACGUGAGAAUGGCAGGAGGGUGGAUGGG
rnacentral:rRNA from 1 species